rfam:Neotoma lepida isolate 417 scaffold_41, whole genome shotgun sequence.
UAAAGAAUUGAUGGAAAACAAUGAAGAUCAAAUGUCCAUCUCAAAACACUGCUUUUACAAAAGCAGAAUAAAAAAAAAAAUGAAAUGAAAUGAAAGUGC